UUAAAAAGCUCGUAGUGGGAUUUCGGUUAAGAGCAACCGGUCCGCCGUUUGGUGUGCACUGGUUGGUUUUAACUUCCUGUAGAGGACGUGCUCUGGGCUUAACGGUCUGGACUCGGAGUCUAUAUGGUUACUUUGAAAAAAUUAGAGUGUUCAAAGCGGGCUUACGCUUGAAUAUUUCAGCAUGGAAUAACACUAUAGGACUCCUGUCCUAUUUCGUUGGUCUCGGGACGGGAGUAAUGAUUAAGAGGAACAGUUGGGGGCAUUCGUAUUUCAUUGUCAGAGGUGAAAUUCUUGGAUUUAUGAAAGACGAACUUCUGCGAAAGCAUUUGCCAAGGAUGUUUUCAUUAAUCAAGAACGAAAGUUGGGGGCUCGAAGAUGAUUAGAU
rnacentral:rRNA from 1 species